GACAGUGUGGCCGAGUGGUUAAGGCGUUGGACUGUUCAUCCAAUACAGUCUGUGUGCGUGGGUUUGAAUCCCAUCUCUGUCG